UGUCAAACUUUAGGGAAUCAAGCACUGCAUUGCAAAAGAUAAAUUACGACAUCUUUCGCGAGUGAAUGUCAUUUAGACAGCACGUUAAUUGCACCAAUACCAUAGUACUAAAUCUUCAUUACAGUUCCUGAAAAAAGGAGCAAAUAGAAAG
rnacentral:lncRNA from 1 species